UUCAAUGUGGACAGCUCACAUCACAUCUUCCCAGAUGACCAUGCCGGCUUUCCAAGGCAAAGAAGCUCACGCACAGAGUACAAUGGGAUUGCUGGAUCGUAAGGUCAGUGAGGAGAGGAAGCUGAGCAGACUCAGUGCUGAUCCAGCCAUAGGCACUUUGACUUUCAUCCAUGCCAUUAGCAGUCUGCUGAUAGGAGGGGGCACAAAAGGGACACAGAGCAGAGAGACUCUAAGAUCAAGGGGGUGAGGCAGAUGUACCAGAAGUAAAAGAAGGCCAAUUGUCACUCUGGUGUGGUACUGAACGCAUGUCACUUCUACAAGGAGCUGCACACUGUCCUCCGUGGUAAUCCCAAAUCAGCUGCAGAGCACACCAGGAAUAAUUCGGGAGGGACCGGAGAUAGCAGACAAUGGAGUCAACCCCCAGGAUGAAGUAGUGGACAAAGAAGUUGAGCAGGAGGAGAAUGGAGAACAGGUGAUAGGCUCAUCCAAUGGUGUGGAGAGCCAGGACCCCUUUUUUACUCCAGAGUCUAGCUCUCACGUAUUUGAAGUUGGAGAGGGAAGCUCCAGAAACUUUGCUGCACAAUUGGUAAUUACUUCUGGAGGAACCAAAGCAUCUCACAGAUGUGCCCUUAAGAACCAGCUCCUACAUAGCCUGGAGCACCUCUGUCAGAUAAGAAGGCAAGGAAGGAGAAAUUAGGAAGAUAUGUUUUAUGAAUUGCUACAAUCACCAUAUCAGGCCAAGAGUGAGCACAGAGCAUGAAGGGAGACAGUAAAAUGAAACAAGAAAUGGGUAGCCAGUGAGAAGGCAGGAUCAGGAGCAGAGCGCUGCUGUGGCCAGGGUAGAAAUGCACUCCUCUGACCGCAGCAAGGCCAGAAGAGAGCUGCUGUGGCCCAAGGAAAAGCGCACUCUUCCAGCCCCAGUAGGAACUGCAGAGGCCAGGGAAGAGGGGCCUUGUAAGGGUUAAUUGCGGAAGAACUUUGUACAUGCUAGUUUAGGG